UGCUAUAAACAACAUUAUUGCACCAAUUAACAAAAUUACAGAACAGAUGGUAGAUUAGGUAAAAGAAUAGUAUCAAUGUUUAAUUUACUAAAGUGGAUAACUCUACUGUAGUUACACAAGAAAACAGCAUUAUUCUUAGGAAGUAUAUGCUGAGGUAUUUAGUAAGGGGAUUUGAUAUAUGUCACUUAGUCACAAAUGGUUCAGAAAAACAAAAUUCGAGAGCUCGAGUGAGAACAAGGGGAAGGGAGAUUGAGCACAAAUAAAAUGAGUAAAAAGGAUAAAUCUGAUUGUACGGUGUGUGUUGUAUACUAUGUACUAUUCCUAUUCUUAUAACUUCUCUAUGGGUUUGAAAUUAUUUCUAAACCGUUGCUGUUGACUUUUCAGAGGCUAAUGCCUGAUGCAUGAGAUUUAAGAGAAGAGGCAAAAUCAACCUUGGCCCCGAGACAGGAACAGCACAUGAGACAUCUUUCCACAUGGAUUGGUAGUUUUAUCAAGUGGAAUUUAAUCCCCCCAAAUCAAGAGGAUUAUUUUGGCUGUCGUAGGGACACAGAGUCAUAACACCUCAACCAGGGCGAUGCCAAUGGACGUGGAGGGAAAAGAAAGAUGUGGGGGAAAACAUGAAGGAAAAGCUGACAAGACUGGGUGAACAAUGAAGUUUAGAAGGUAAUGGAAAUGGAAGUUAAAUAAAGCUUCAUUUUGUUUUUCAAGCAAGAACUUCCUGUUUCUACUGUGCUAUUUGGGGGGGAAAAAACAACAACAACAACUAAUCACGAUAUUGUCGCUACACAUUGGACACUAUUGUCCUAAAAUAUAGCCUAGUGUAAGAUGUUAUAAAUAUAGAUAAAUAUGUAUAGCAUAGGAAAGAAUCAGAUACAUGCUAUAAGAGGGAAAUACACAAAUCGCUGUUGAAUUUGUCCCUUGGGAGAGAGGAAAUCUAAGUGAUAAAA